rnacentral:misc_RNA from 1 species
AAGGCAGUUGCAAAGGUUUGACCUAGCUCUUUCAAAAUAUUUUUGAUCAUUUGAAGAAAUGUUUUAUUUAUUUAUUUUAAAUCAGCACAUCUGGGAAACUAGUGCAACUUUUUGAUUAACUACAUUAGUGCAUAACUGAUAAUUUGAUUGGGUGAUGACAAAUGGUUGAUUUAUCAAGUUCUUGAAACUAGUGCAACUUUCUGCAGCUGUUCCAUGGACUGUUGCAUGAGAAUUCACUUUAUUUGCCUAAAAGUAGUUUAGAAUUACAAGCAAGCCAUG